GCUGGUGGCGUGCUUAACACAUGCAAGUCGAACGAGAAAGUUUCCUUCGGGAAAUUAGUAAAGUGGCGCAAGGGUGAGUAUCACGUGAAUAAUCUGCCCUCGAGAUCGGGAUAACAUGGUGAAAACUAUGCUAAUACCGGAUAAGACCACAUUUCAUAAGAAAUGCGGUAAAAGGAGUCUCAAUCUUCACUCGAGGAUGAGUUCGCGCAACAUUAGCUUGUUGGUGAGAUAAAAGCUCACCAAGGCUACGAUGUUUAGCCGGCCUGAGAGGGUGAACGGCCACACUGGAACUGAGACACGGUCCAGACUCCUACGGGAGGCAGCAGUGGGGAAUAUUGCGCAAUGGGCGAAAGCCUGACGCAGCAACGCCGUGUGAGCGAUGAAGGCUUUAGGGUCGUAAAGCUCUGUCAAAUGGGAAGAAUUUUGACGGUACCAUUAGAGGAAGCCCCGGCUAACUCCGUGCCAGCAGCCGCGGUAAUACGGAGGGGGCAAGCGUUGUUCGGAAUUAUUGGGCGUAAAGAGUAUGUAGGCGGCUAAGUAAGUCAGGCGUGCAAGCCCGUGGCUCAACCACGGAAUUGCGUUUGAAACUGUUUAGCUUGAGUACAGGAGAGGAAAGUGGAAUUCCCAGUGUAGCGGUGAAAUGCAUUGAUAUUGGGAAGAACAUCUGUGGCGAAGGCGGCUUUCUGGUCUGUUACUGACGCUGAGAUACGAAAGCCAGGGUAGCGAACGGGAUUAGAUACCCCGGUAGUCCUGGCUGUAAACGAUGGGCACUAGGUGCAGGAGGUAUCGAUCCCCUCUGUGCCGUAGCUAACGCGUUAAGUGCCCCGCCUGGGGAGUACGGUCGCAAGGCGACUUAAAAUGGAUGCG
rnacentral:rRNA from 1 species